GAUGAACGCUAGCUACAGGCCUAACACAUGCAAGUCGAGGGACCGGCGCACGGGAGAGUAACCCGUAUACAAGCCGCCCUUUACUCGGGGAUUGCCUUUAGCAAGAAAGAUUAAUACCCGAUGUAAAGGAUGGGGAUGCGUUCCAUUAGGUUGUUGGUGAGGUAACGGCUCACCAAGCCUUCGAUGGGUAGGGGUUCUGAUAGGAAGGUCCCCCGCAUUGGAACUGCGACCCGGUCCAAACUCCGACGGUGGGCAGCAGUGAGGAAUAUUGGUCGAUGGGCGCUAGCCUGACCCAGCCAAGUGGCUGAAGGGAGGAAUGCUUAUGGGUCGUAAACUUCUUUUAAAUAAGAAGAUUUAUUAUCUGAAUAAGGAUCGGCUAACUCCGUGCCAGCAGCCGCGGUAAUAC
rnacentral:rRNA from 1 species